GAAGAAAGAGGAGGAGGAGAAGGAGGAGGAACUGAAGAAAUGAGGCACCGCAAGGAUGGUCAGUCUCCAAUGCCUCAACCUUUCUGAAGAGAACUGUGUUCACUAAGUUAAACCUGCAUUUUUGCUGCUCGUGUGAGAAAGCCGCAAUUAAACACUUCUGCUGACUCUUUCACCUUUUGGGUCUACCAAGUAGCCGCACUGAAGACAUUGAUUCCUGCAUCCCACUCAGCUCACUGUGCUGUUUUAACAGAUCUUUCUGAAGAUAUCUGAAGAUUUAACUUCGAUGGUGCACAAAACAGAAGACAGAAGCACUUCUUUAUCAAGUUUAUCAAGUACCUACUUUGGAAACCGUGAAUCUCUCCUCUUUGAUAUGACCAUGUGUUAAAUUUACUUCAUUUUAAAUGCAAUGUUUUUAUAAGAACUGAAUCAACACAGUGUCCGAUAAAAUGAUGCAAACCAGUUAAUAUUUUUUGAAUGCAGGAACUAAAUAAGACUAGUUCCAAAUAUGUCUUUUUUAAGAGAGUGAGUUUGACCAUCCUAGCUUACAAUUUUCAAAACUGAUCUCAAUUCUUAAGGCUACCAGGCCCGUCACAUUAGAAUCAAAGUUUUGAAAUAAAAACACUACACGGUUUCUCUUCAUCCGGUUAACUGUAUAGGUAAGCAUUUUAUUCAUACGAUUUAACUGCAUUUCUUUUAGGAUAUAAAGUGUGUGGUAAGAGCAGACUCAAAGAUGUGGGUCUUAAAUGUCAACUAUGAAAAAUUCAGAUAUUCUGUUUGCCUUUAAAGUUAUGUUAAUUACCACACUUUAAUUAAGUGUUUAUUUUUUUAGAACUCUUUUCCCCUUCUGUUUGACCACCUGUAUACCUCAUUCUUCAACCACAGGAGUAAAGGUGUCUAAAAUUGAUGCUGGGUUUGAUAAGGUACGGUGAUGACAUUAGCCUGAGUUCUAGUUCCUGGAACAGAGAUCUGU